UACGUAGGGACCAAGCGUUGUCCGGAAUCAUUGGGCGUAAAGAGCGUGUAGGCGGCUUGUUAAGUCUUGCGUGAAAUCUCGGGGCUCAACCCCGAGCGGUCGUGAGAAACUGGCAGGCUAGAGUGCGGGAGAGGAGAGUGGAAUUCCUGGUGUAGCGGUGGAAUGCGCAGAUAUCAGGAGGAACACCGGUGGAAGGCGGGUCUCUGGGCAGUAACUGACGCUGAGGAGCGAAAGCGUGGGGAGCGAACAGG
rnacentral:rRNA from 1 species